CAGUCGCCGCGGUAAUACGUAGGUGGCAAGCGUUGUCCGGAAUUAUUGGGCGUAAAGGGCUCGCAGGCGGUUUCUUAAGUCUGAUGUGAAAGCCCCCGGCUCAACCGGGGAGGGUCAUUGGAAACUGGGAAACUUGAGUGCAGAAGAGGAGAGUGGAAUUCCACGUGUAGCGGUGGAAUGCGUAGAGAUGUGGAGGAACACCAGUGGCGAAGGCGACUCUCUGGUCUGUAACUGACGCUGAGGAGCGAAAGCGUGGGGAGCGAACAGGAUUAGAGACCCCAGUAGUCCCUGUCUCUUAUAC
rnacentral:rRNA from 1 species